rnacentral:rRNA from 1 species
GUGGGGAAUUUUGGACAAUGGGCGCAAGCCUGAUCCAGCCAUGCCGCGUGCAGGAUGAAGGCCUUCGGGUUGUAAACUGCUUUUGUACGGAACGAAAAGACUCUGGUUAAUACCUGGGGUCCAUGACGGUACCGUAAGAAUAAGCACCGGCUAACUACGUGCCAGCAGCCGCGGUAAUACGUAGGGUGCGAGCGUUAAUCGGAAUUACUGGGCGUAAAGCGUGCGCAGGCGGUUUUGUAAGACAGGCGUGAAAUCCCCGGGCUCAACCUGGGAAUUGCGCUUGUGACUGCAAGGCUGGAGUGCGGCAGAGGGGGAUGGAAUUCCGCGUGUAGCAGUGAAAUGCGUAGAGAUCUGGAGGAAUACCGAUGGCGAAGGCAGCCAUCUGACCUAAUACUGACACUGAGGUGCGAAAGCAUGGGGAGCAAACAGGAUUAGAAACCCUGGUAGUCC